GGGGAUGUGGCUCAAGUGGUAGCGUGCGCACGCCUAGCAUGCGUGAGGCGCUGGGUUCGAUUCUCAGCACCACA
rnacentral:tRNA from 1 species